rnacentral:rRNA from 1 species
CCUACGGGAGGCAGCAGUGAGGAAUAUUGGUCAAUGGCCGAGAGGCUGAACCAGCCAAGUCGCGUGAGGGAAGACGGCCCUACGGGUUGUAAACCUCUUUUGUCGGGGAGCAAAGCGAACCACGUGUGGUUCAUUGAGAGUACCCGACGAAACAGCAUCGGCUAACUCCGUGCCAGCAGCCGGGGUAAUACGGAGGAAGCGAGCGUUAUCCGGAUUUAUUGGGUUUAAAGGGUGGGCAGGGGGAGGUGCAAGUCAGCGGUCAAGUUGCGGGGCCCAACCCCGUACUGCCGUUGAAACUGGAUACCUUGAGUGCGGGAGAGGUAUGCGGAAUGCGUGGUGUAGCGGUGAAAUGCAUAGAUAUCACGCAGAACUCCGAUGGCGAAGGCAGCAUACCGGCGCGCAACUGACGCUCAGGCACGAAAGCGUGGGUAUCGAACAGGAUUAGAUACCCGAGUAGUC